UACGGAGGGUGCGAGCGUUGUCCGGAUUUAUUGGGUUUAAAGGGUGCGUAGGUUGUUUAAUAAGUCAGUGGUGAAAGGCAUCGGCUCAACCGGUGAGCUGCCAUUGAUACUGUUAAACUUGAGUACUGUAGGGGUAGGCGGAAUUUGUGGUGUAGCGGUGAAAUGCAUAGAUACCACAAGGAACACCAGCGGCGAAGGCGGCCUACUGGGCAGUUACUGACACUGAUGCACGAAAGCGUGGGGAGCGAACAGG
rnacentral:rRNA from 1 species